ACGAACGCUGGCGGCGUGCUUAACACCUGCAAGUCGAACGGAAAGGCCCUGCUUUUGUGGGGUGCUCGAGUGGCGAACGGGUGAGUAACACGUGAGUAACCUGCCCUUGACUUUGGGAUAACUUCAGGAAACUGGGGCUAAUACCGGAUAGGAGCUCCUGCUGCAUGGUGGGGGUUGGAAAGUUUCGGCGGUUGGGGAUGGACUCGCGGGUUAUCAGCUUGUUGGUGGGGUAGUGGCUUACGAAGGCUUUGACGGGUAGCCGGCCUGAGAGGGUGACCGGCCACAAUGGGACUGAGAUACGGCCCAGACUGCUACGGGCGGCAGCAGUGGGGAAUAUUGCACAAUGGGCGGAAGCCUGAUGCAGCAACGCCGCGUGCGGGAUGACGGCCUUCGGGUUGUAAACCGCUUUCGCCUGUGACGAAGCGUGAGUGACGGUAAUGGGUAAAGAAGCACCGGCUAACUACGUG
rnacentral:rRNA from 1 species